AUGAAUGUGAACGGUCUAGGUGCUUCUUUUACAAAUAACCCCUCAACCACGCAGGGAAGGCGUCUAUUUAUGGAGAUUAGAUCUUCGAUGCCAUUCCCCACCAUGCAGAAAUCCUUAGAAGUCGCCAUAGGAAAUUUUCCAAACAUGGUCGGCGCUCCUAGAUCAUCCUCACGCCCCCUCGGCCCUCAAAAAGGCGACUGGGAAAGCUGCUCGGUAUCCCGCGCCCAUCUGAAUAAACUUCAGACGCAGGGAUAUCUUCCUCCCGCAGAUCUAGUCUUCGUUUGGGCUGGAUUAACUUCCAUCAAUGGCGAAGCCCUGGCGGAGAAUUUCCCCAAUCCUUCUAAAGAGGAGCGGGUGUGCUUCGUUUCCUUCCUUUUGAGAGGCAUAGGAUUUCCUAUCCAUCCUUUCCUCAGAGGUCUCCUGGAGUAUUAUGGUCUCCAACUGCACAAUCUGACGCCGGGCUCCAUCCUGCACAUCGCGGGAUUCAUUGCUCUUUGCGAGCUGCUCCUAGGUUGUGAGGCUCAUUUUGAGCUAUGCGGAAAUGUUUCUGCCUCAUCCCCCGCUCCCAAAAGGGAUCUAUAUUCAAGGUGGGUGGCGCUGAAGUAUGGCGCCUAG
rnacentral:rRNA from 1 species